UACGAAGGGGGCUAGCGUUGUUCGGAAUUACUGGGCGUAAAGCGCGCGCAGGCGGCUAUCCAAGUCAGUGGUGAAAGCCCGGAGCUCAACUCCGGAACUGCCAUUGAAACUGUUUAGCUGGAGUAUGAGAGAGGUGAGUGGAAUUCCCAGUGUAGAGGUGAAAUUCGUAGAUAUUGGGAAGAACACCAGUGGCGAAGGCGACACACUGGGCCAUUACUGACGCUGAGGCGCGAAAGCGUGGGGAGCAAACAGG
rnacentral:rRNA from 1 species